GCUGGGCAUGGUGGUGCGUGCCUGUAGUCCCAGCUACUUGGGAGGCUGAGGUGGGAGGAUUGCUUGAGCCCAGGAGUUCUGGGCUGUAGUGCGCUCUGCCAGUUGGGGGUCUGCACUAAGUUCGGCGUCUGCACUAAGUUCGGCAUCAAUAUGGUGACAUCCCAAGAUCAGGGGACCACCAGGUUGCCUAAGGAGGGGUGAACCAGCCCAGGUCAGAAACGGAGCAGGUGAAAAGCUAUUCACAGGUGCUGAUCAGUAGUGGGAUCGCACCUGUGAAUAGCCACUGCACACCAGCCUGGGCAACAUGGCGAGACCUUGUCUCU
rnacentral:SRP_RNA from 1 species